rnacentral:lncRNA from 1 species
CCACAUUCCAUCUAACACCAGUGAUGGAGGCCUCAGGGCCAACCUAUCAUUGAGUAAUCCAUCUUUACAAUUUCACUUUAGAGACUGCUUCCAGGAUCAUCCUGGAUCCAUUGGCUUGCAGCUGUUUCCUGGAAACAGAGAUGGAAAACUGAAGAUUGAUUUCAUACUUUCUCUCCAGAUGAACCUUAUCAAAAGAGCCACAUGACACCGACAUGUUUCCUAGAAGUGCUCUCACUUCCUAAUGGAUGUAUUUCAUUAUAACCCAGGAUUCAUCAUGAUUCAGAGUACUGUGGUUUUGAAAUGAUUAAUAUGUUAGGGUUGUAAUAAUGUGAGUCAUAUAAAGGGGGAAAGAUGUGAGGAAAUAAAAAC